AAAAGCGAGGCGGUGUUGCCGUAAAGUGAUCUUGUUUUGCUAGCAAUAGUUGGUUUGAAGAUGGUGACGUUUUUUUGCGUUGUACGAUCCAUGUCGGCCCGGUGUCCGAGUUGCUGUCCAACUGUGCGUAAAGGCCCGUGUUAAGGUAAGAAUGGUGACGGGUGACAAUCUUCAAACCGACAAGGCAAUUGCGUUAGAAUGCGGUAUACUUGGGUCAGAUGCGGACGCUACCAAGCGAAACCUAAUUGAAAGGAAGUCCUUCCGUGCAAUGUCGGAUGCACAAAGACUCGAAGUAGCUGAGAGGAUAUCGGUGAUGGGGAAGUCGUCUCCUAACAAUAACUGUUACUCGUGCAAGCUCUGAGGAAAAGAGGACAUGUCGUUGCGGUUACUGGAGAUGGAACUGGCGAUGCCCCUGCUUUACAUGAGGCGGAUAUCGGUCUUGCUAUGGGUACUCAAGGCACUGAAGUAGCAGAAGAGAGUAGUGACAUCAUCAUAUUGGACGAUAACUUUGCUUCGGUUGUUAGGGAGGUUGAAAAGAGGUGAACAGCUGGGUUGAAAAGAGGGAAUAGUGGUCAACAAUGGUCAGAAGGGUGAAAAGAGGGAACAACUGUCCGAACUCAGCUUGGUUGAAAAGAGGGAACAAUGGUCAACAGUGGUCGGUAUGCUGAAAAGAGGUGAACUGUGGUCAGAAUUCAGCAGUCUGCUGAAAAGAGAAUACUAUUUUCAUCUUGGUCUUCCAUUGUUUCUCACCUCUAUACAUUUGAUUCUUGCAUUAUUUCUCUAUUUUUAACAUCUUGGUUCUGCGUUGUGGUAAGUAUUUCUCACAUUUCGACUGUUUCUUUUGUAUGUGUGUUGUACUCUUACAUAGUGAUAACAAUGUUUGAUACACCGAUUGUAAAAAUCUUACACUAUUUUAGUUGUUAAGACUUAUCGACUGUUUUAUUUUAUAUGUGAUAACAAUCUUCAC